UCUUGGUCAUUUAGAGGAAGUAAAAGUCGUAACAAGGUCUCCGUUGGUGAACCAGCGGAGGGAUCAUUAUCGAGUUAUUCAACUCCCAAACCCUAUGUGAACUUACCACUUGUUGCUUCGGCGCGCGCUUCGGCGCCGCCGAGGACACUUAAACUCUUUGUUUUUAUAAGCAUUUCUGAGUGGCCGAAAGGCAAAAAUACAAAUGAAUCAAAACUUUCAACAACGGAUCUCUUGGUUCUGGCAUCGAUGAAGAACGCAGCGAAAUGCGAUAAGUAAUGUGAAUUGCAGAAUUCAGUGAAUCAUCGAAUCUUUGAACGCACAUUGCGCCCGCCAGCAUUCUGGCAGGCAUGCCUGUUCGAGCGUCAUUUCAACCCUCGAGCCCGACUCUUUUGAGGGCGGCUCGGCGUUGGGGGACGGCAGACUCCCCCCGGCAUCUCGCCGGGGACGCCGCCCCCGAAAUCUAGUGGCGGCCCUCCGAGGCGACCUCUGCGUAGUAACUUGUUCUCGCACCGGAAAGCUCAGAGCGGCCACGCCGUAAAACCCCAACUUUUUUCAGGUUGACCUCGAAUCAGGUAGGACUA
rnacentral:rRNA from 1 species